UAAUUAUGAGUUGCGGCUUGAGUUUUAUGUAUAGAAGGCAUGGCGGCUUCGAUCGGUUUCUACAGUAGCAUACCUCUUCAGUCAGCCCUUUGCAGUACCAAUUUUGGAAAACUUGGACUCUCACAAGCUUCAGACUGUAUGGUUUGGCUCUCGUCAUAGCAGGCCCAAAUUUUGAAGACCUCAAUUGCCGAAACCAAGUCCAAAGGCUUACGAAACACAACGUUAACAAGAUGGUUUCAAAAUUUACCUUUAUGCUCCAUAUCGAGUAAAGGUACCACCUUUUAAGACUUGUAUUUCCUCUUCUAUCUUUUGAGGCUAGUAUUUCAUAUGCUACUGAUAAAGUAAAGGUACCUUAUUUUGUGUUUGUAGGGAUGUUAUUUACUGAUAGUUUUGUUGGUUGAU